rnacentral:lncRNA from 13 species
UGAAUUUGGAUGUGAAUCAUACAUGAAAAUAUACGUUUUUGUAUUUCACAGAGAGCGACAAUGGAGUAUACUGUAGCAGCUCUUUGGGAAUGCCCAAGAGCUCACAAGUCAUUAUGUUUCCGACAGUAAAGGGGAAGGGUUACCUUUCCAUUCCAUACAACUGACAUUGUCCUUAUGGGAGCUCCAUGACAUCCUGACUGGAAUUCACAAUGAGACAUCAAUGCAAUCCAAUAUCCUCAGCAACUUUACAAAAAGGGGAUUGAUUUAUGGAAAGACAUUCCCUGCAGCCUCUCCUCCCACUGGGACAGCAGAUCUACAUAAAAACUGUGAUUAGAGAGAGCAGGAGGAAGAAAGAAUCUAGCUAUGAGGAGGAUAGACUGGAACCGAAGCAAAUUUAGCCAUUACAGUCACCCUGUCUCUGGAGACACACACACAUGCUCAGUAUUCCAGCCAAUGUUCAAGGAUUCUUCAAAGCAUCAGGAGCCAGAGAAAACCACAGAGGUAGGACUGAGGUGCCCAAGCAUCGACCGGUUGAGGAACAGAGAACCAGCAGCCAGCAGUCUCAGACAGACAGAGAGACAGACAGACUACUACUGUUCUGAGCCACUGCACACAACACAAUUAACCAUCUCAACACUGCACACCCUGCACACACUUUAACAUGUAUUCCCUUUAUAUAUGAUGUAAAGUUGACAUCCAGUUCCCACAGUGAUAUACAGUAAAUGCUUAAAACCCAUUACACACAUACAUAAUUGAGACAUUUUCUGUUAUAUAAUUCACAUUCAUAGAUGUGUAGUUAAAUAUUUUUAUUUCACCAGAUAUUUUAACAGGCAUAACUUUUUGGGGGGCUGGCUGUCCUAUGUUACUGAAAAAUAUCCUACCCCCUUCUUUUCUCACGUGUGAAUGCAAAAGCCAGUGAGCACUAAUGAAAGCACUGUAGUUUUGUUUUAUAUGAGAUUCUCUCCUAUAUGAUCCAAAUAGUAAUCAUGCACCUGGGACUGUACGGUGCCAUUAAAUGCACAGUGGGUGCAUUUACUUACAGACACAGGCUAUACUGUCCACAAUUGUGGAAUUCCUCACAAAUUCCAAACCAGGACCCUCCAUUCAAUAACUGAGAGUAAAAUGUUGAAUAUAAACAUUGAGACCAUUAUAUCUCCUUUAUAAUGAGUCUAGAUUGUAGCACCAUGUCAAUAUGUCUACCACAGGAAACUACUGAUAAUGACUUCUGAGGAGCAUGUUUACAACAGCAGUUUUAUUUUCCUAAGGUUAGCCAUUAGCUCUGUUGAAGGUCACUGAAUAAGUAUCCUCUCAGGGUUUCUUUCAUUUACUCUCGCAGCUCCUCUGAACCUUUUUACUGAUUCAUGGAAACAUCAAUGUUCACCGCAGCAUCGAGAGAGUACAUGUGAUGCAGAAACACUUGUUUGUCUCAAGUUGUAAUGUUCAUUCACCCAUCACUGUGGAACCAAAUUCUUAAAAAAGUUACAGCACUGAGAAGUUGAAAGCAGAGAGCUAAGCCAUCAACUGUAAAAGUGUUACUGUUUUAGACAGCUCUAAAGUGCAUUGAUCUACAGUAUAUCUGUCAAUACUAAUCAAACUCAAAAGUACAAUAUCAAAUACUAAUAUAAUUCAAUAGACAGCAGACUUUCAAGGUUGUAAAUUCUUGCUUUUGUGUCUUUUCUGGACAUGAUUUGUGUACUCUGUUUAUAGGUUCAGGGGGUGAAGGCAAUUCCACAAAGUCAACUGGAGGCAUACAGUAUAUUAAAAUUGCAUGAACAUUUGAAUUGAAGUGUUUUGAUCACACAGAGCAAGAAAUCACAGCAUUGAAUUCAAACAUAUGGCAUAGCAACUGAUUCUAGGUCUUGAAUGGAAGAUUAAUCGUGCACUAUUGAUAAUUUUUCACUUCCACUUUCAACCAAAAAAAUAAGCAUUACAGCUACUGCAUGCUCGUUGAAUGAUAAGUGUUAAACUCAAUGUGAUGGCAAUGAAAUGUCCCAACAACUGUGAUUUGGUAGUUCUGUCAUGAAUGGUUCCUGUUAACAGCUAACAGCAGUUAUCUACCUCAUCCCUACUCCAAAACUGAAAACUAGUUCACAGUUCAAUGUACUAAAAUUGAAAAACGUAUUCAGUGGUUUAAAGAAGGACACUGGCAAUACUUCGGUACCUGUGCACUUUUGGUUGUAUCUUUCCGAAAAAUACUGUGGAUGAAAGUUCAUGGUGGCAAGAGCUUAAAAAGGAUGUCCUCUUCUUUAAGAAGUUCUCUUUGCCUUUCAUAGAGGUGAUUACCUUGAUAUUUAAACCCAAUACACUUCCUGGACUGUUACAUAACAGUUUUGAAGCU